AAAGCCAAGAGUCAAUAAGCACAGCAUUGCACAGCAUUACACAUCCCAUUCAUACUCUGCCAUAUAAGAAAUAGGAGACAAGCACCAAACUCCAUCAUUCACCACACAAAAUUCCUAGAAGUAAUAAUAUUCUUGAUAUUUAAAUAAUCAAUGAUUUUCUAUGAAAGUUAAAGAAUGUGCAAAAAAGGAAAAAGAAAAAAGGAUUAUCAUGCAAUAUCACCUUGCAAAAAAUAAAGCUAUAUGAUGCACAAAAAUAUAAAACUGUCAACUAUAGAUGACAUGUGAUGACCAAAACAUAACCUCUUCUGGAGUAAUUGUGUACAU
rnacentral:misc_RNA from 1 species